CCGCUUCAAAAUGGGUUAUUAGCUCGUGCUUCUCUGUUCAUCUCAUCGCAUCCAAUAGGCCAUAAGAUCGAUGUUUGGGCUUUGUUUCAAAGCGGUUGGCAUAAAGAUACCUGGCCCUAAUGGCCCAUGAAGAAAAUGCGAGGGGGGCAGAUGAGUCUGUUUUGGACUCAAAGUGCACAGUGCAUGCAAAAGAAAUAAAUAAGGAUUAGAAAUGGAUAAGCACAAGUCUGUAUAAAAAAUAUGCACUUUGGCAAAAUAUAAGCAAAAAUAUUGUAAUAAAGUUUAGCAAAGAGAAACCACUGCAUCACAUAUAACCAUUUUCAGUUAAGCAACUAAGGGAACCCAAAUUUCAAAAGGCAAACAACUGAAGCAUAAUGAUGUCAACUUUAUUAAAAGGAUUUAGGAUAACCAAACUUGUCACUGGAUUUCCAAAUCAAAAGAAGAAACUUAUUCUAUUUGCUACUUCUUUUCCUUUUAUUAUUAUUAUUAUUAUUAUUAUUAUUAUUUGAAGUAUAUAUAUAGUACCUAGGCAUGCCGGACAGCUGCAGACAAGAACCUACACGCAGGUUUAUGGAGAGAAGGUAAUAAAACACGUACGCAUCAUUCGAUGAUUGAAAAUUGCCUUACAGAACUCUUAGAGCUCUAGGAAAAUGAACCCAAAAUUGAAUCAAAAAUACAGAAGCAUGAGGGAUAGCAACUUGAAUAGGUUGUUUCUGCUAGACCCUCGACUCAAAAAUAAAAUGAUUUAGACAUGAGACGGCAAGAUAUGAUAUGUUCAACACGUCCAAUAACAUCAUAAACCAAAUACCCUGAGUAAUGCAACAAAAGAAAUAACAUCCUACUAUAACUUAAGCUAUGCAACCUGCUAAAAAUACAUAAGAUUAAAGAUAGGAAAUUUACUCUAUUCUUAUUAAACAAAUGGCGACAUCUAGGUAAAUAAUGGAUGGCCAAAGAAGCAUGUGAAAUAAACAACAAUGAAUAAAUAACUAAACAAAGAGUUCAAGAUUUAAGCAAAAGUUUGUAAAACCGAGGAAAGCAAAACAUAAGCUAAAAUUAGGGAUCAAGCGAUUAUAACGGCAAUCAGCCUAGCGUAGCAAGACUCUAGAUGCAAAAGAUGAAAAUUUUAAGCGAAAAGCAAAGCCUUGAUGAGGUAUACAUUGAUUCAUGCCACGAACUCUCAGGUAAACCACCAAUCAGUUUAGUACAGUAUGUUCAACAGGGUUAUAUUAAAAUUAUGACUUGAACACUGCUUCAGGGAAAUGGCACAACAACAGUCAAAAUACAACCCCUAAAGCCAUCAUAGCCAAAUGCAGUAGAAAGAUCCCAGCCUCAUUCAUGACAAACACAUAACUACUUCUACGGGAAAAGAGAAAAGGGAUGAAGCCGAAAGUGAUGAGUUUAAAAGGAAAAAAUUAUGUUCACCUCCUCUAGGGUAGCAAAAUGAGGACCCGAGCUAUCAGUCAAAUUUGCUACCGCCGGGAAACAGCCCUUCGGGAAACUUCAACUCAAAUUGAUAGUUUCAAAAACUUUUCUAGCUAAAUCUACAGUUCCAUACUCAACUAAGAAAACACAUGUACUGAUUUUUGCUCUAAAAAUGGAUUUUUCCACUUCAAAACCUUAAUGGAAACUGGUGAAAUUUUUGCUCUUUAAGAAUCCCCUCAAAAUUAAAAAAAAAAAAACACCCUAAACGAAAAAAAUGAAAAGAAAAAUCUCCUGAAAAGAAAAAGAAGAAACCCCCCUCCCCCUUUUCUAGACCCAAAACUUCAAAAUUUAUAGAAUAUGGUGACCUCUCAUUCCUCUAGUCCCCAAUUUCUGAACCUCCUAAAAUCCAAUCCCUAGCUAGUGACUCCUAUUGCCUCUUAUAUAGAGGAUAGAACCAGGGUAUUUUUGGGAUCCCUAAAAAAGGAACCCUAGGGUUUAAGAUUUGAAAAUCCUUUCCCUCCCACCAUCUUGUUUUCGAACCUGCACCGUACCAAAAUUUUGGAUUUUUCCCACAAAAUGGAAUAGGUGGACCAAUUGAAAAAGGGUAAAACAAAUUCCAUUCUAAAACAAUCAAAAACGACCAGAUGUGUAUGAAUUCGUACCAUGGUACCCGAGAUUCAUGGAAUAUGGACGUUGGACGAGACACCUAGGCUUGCUUCUAGAAGAUUCAAGGUUUUCCCGUACUAUGAAUGCGUGAAAUGUGUGGGUACAGCUGGGUCGAGUCGUUUUGCAGAUAUUUAACUAAUGUGGGAUUUGAUUUCUGUUGAAAGCGGGUUGGUUCGACCAUGGGUUGCCAUAUUCGGGUGGAGAAGGGGUUGAGGUAGAGUUGACGGCAGUUUAAGGUUUGGCUUUGGUUGAG
rnacentral:lncRNA from 1 species